UACGUAGGGGGCUAGCGUUGCUCGGAUUUACUGGGCGUAAAGGGCGCGUAGGCGGUUCGUACAGUCAGACGUGAAAUUCCUGGGCUCAACCUGGGGGCUGCGUUUGAUACGUGCGGACUUGAGUGCGGAAGAGGGUCGUGGAAUUCCCAGUGUAGAGGUGAAAUUCGUAGAUAUUGGGAAGAACACCGGUGGCGAAGGCGGCGACCUGGUCCUUGACUGACGCUGAGGCGCGAAAGCGUGGGGAGCAAACAGG
rnacentral:rRNA from 1 species